AGUCAUAAGGCGCUGCGCAGUUGGCUGCAUAAAGGAUGCCAACCAAACUUAUCAUUUUAUUGUAUAACUUUUAAAGAGGAAAGAUGGCGGCGAUGGAUUGCAGCCGUCAAUCAUAAUGACUGACAGCUAAUGACUGACAGCCCUCGGUGUAAUCGCGGAUUUACAGGGAACACAAGAUGUUUCCAGGUCACAUGGAGCAGGACACCAGGCUGCAGGACACCAGGCUGCAGGACACCAGGCUGCAGGACAUCAGGCUGCAGGACACCAGGCUGCAGGACACCAGGCUGCAGGACAUCAGGCUGCAGGGCAUCGGGCUGCAGGACACCAGACUGUAGGACACCAGGCUGCAGGACACCAGGCUGCAGGACACCAGGCUGCAGGACAUCAGGCUGCAGGACACCAGGCUGUAGGACAUCGGGCUGCAGGACUUCAGGCUGCAGGACACCAGGCUGCAGGACACCAGGCUGUAGGACACCAGGCUGUAGGACACCAGGCUUCAGGACACCAGGCUUCAGGACACCAGGCUGUAGGACAUCAGGCUGCAGGACACCAGGCUGUAGGACACCAGGCUUCAGGACACCAGGCUGCAGGCCGCAGCAUCAUCUGGGCUGGAGACGUCACAGGACGAUGGAAAAGCUUCCUUAGUUUAUUAUCCAGCAGAAUUCUUAUCUCAGUCACUUCAGGGUCGUUUAUCUGGACACCAGGGUCUGUUAUCUUUAGCUGUUACUUGACCUGUUGGUGUAAAGUCCUCGCUUAAAUUACGCCAUAUUUCAUUUAUAAUCCUGCAGGUUGGCUGUCAUCUCGGUUUUUUAUUAAUCUGCUAUGAUUCCCUCUUAUAGUACACUGACAAAAUGAUUCUGUGGUGAAGUAAACUUCCCGUAGCUGAAUCUGUGAAAUCAACAAUGCAAAUUCAAGUUGGUAUCUUAA